UACGAGGGCCCCGAGCGUUAUCCGGAUUUAUUGGGCGUAAAGGGUCCGUAGGCGGUCCGCCGCAUCUCCCGUUAAAUCCUGAGGCUCAACCUCAGGACCGCGGGAGAGAUGGGCGGACUAGAGGCCGGGAGAGGUAAGCGGAAUUGCUGGUGUAGGGGUUAAAUCCGUUAAUAUCAGCAGGAACACCAAAUGCGAAAGCAGCUUACUGGAACGGUCCUGACGCUGAGGGACGAAAGCGUGGGGAGCGAAUGGG
rnacentral:rRNA from 1 species